GUAGGUGGCAAGCGUUGUCCGGAAUUAUUGGGCGUAAAGCGCGCGCAGGCGGUUCUUCAAGUCUGAUGUGAAAGCCCACGGCUCAACCGUGGAGGGUCAUUGGAAACUGGAGAACUUGAGUACAGAAGAGGAAAGCGGAAUUCCACGUGUAGCGGUGAAAUGCGUAGAGAUGUGGAGGAACACCAGUGGCGAAGGCGGCUUUCUGGUCUGUAACUGACGCUGAGGCGCGAAAGCGUGGGGAGCAAACAGGAUUAGAUACCCUGGUAGUCCACGCCGUAAACGAUGAGUGCUAAGUGUUAGGGGGGUUUCCGCCCCCCUUAGUGCUGCAGCUAACGCAUUAAGCACUCCGCCUGGGAGUACGGCCGCAAGGCUG
rnacentral:rRNA from 1 species